GUCAGGUGCUGUAGAGCUCCGAGAUGGGUCAUAAUGUUAUAUGCAAUGCAGGGAACUAAUGCUCUCUGCUAUAAGAAUUGACCUCAGCCCAGUCUUCAUCGGUGAAGUGGGAUGUAAUGCUCUUGCUUUUCCAAUCAUGGAAAGUAGUGGGCACGUGUGAAUCUGAACUGUCUCCAGCAAGGGCUGCUUGUCUUCAGAUAUUGAAAAGUCUGCAAAAGCAGAAAGAAUACACCAUUUUUCAUAUUCAUAGAUAAGAGACAAAUUUACUGAAAUUCAUGAACGAGGAAUAUGGGAGGCAGAUGGAUUAGGAACUCCUCCAGCAGAAUCCUCUUCCAUGGAGCUCUGCACAUGCCCAGUGAGUCUUGAGAGAUGAGGGAUGGGAAGGCAACGGCAUCUGUAAUUUCAGAGAACUUCAAAUAAACCCUGAGUAAUAACAUCUCCCGUGAAAUGUCAGAAAAAUGAAAAGUAGGAUCAUGUUAAUGAUCUGGACUCUGAAUGAAGCCCUCUCCCAGAGCAAAUUAAAACACUGCACAACUGAGCCUGAAUCCAUAAGCCCUAACCCAGGCAGUUACUAAAACCAAUAAAGAAGAAAAUUCUGGCUCAAACCAAGCGCAAGCUACCUCCACCCACUACAAUAAAGUGUUUCAGUAAUUACCUGAAAGUAAAACUGGUCUCUGUUCUGUCAGAAAAAAAAUCACAAGAGCUCGGGGAAGGAUUCACUGAAGCCCAGAGAGCUGGCAGCUGAAACUGGCUUCUGCAAGACCUGAAGCUGAGACCUAUGGCAACUAUGGAAUGAAUUUGCUAUGCUGAAUUUGUUGUUUUGAUCUCUAUAUGUUAAUUCCCUCUCCUUGAAUUCUGAUGCAGUCAAAGUCCUAACAGCAGUAAAGUGAUGUGCAGCAUACAAAACUUUAAAGAAAAUAAUCUUUUUAUCAGCCCCAGAACAUUGUAACUGGAAAUAAUUUUGUCAGGCUAUUUGUCUAGAAGAUAGAAGAUAUAUUUUGUAAAGCAGACAGGAUCUGAUAGUAAUUCUAAUAGUAGUUCUAAUGAAAUCUAUUAAAUCUGCAUUAGGGUUUUUGUUUCCUGACUCACAAUUGGUAUGAUGACAGUCUGACAUACAAAAUUAAAAGAAAUGGUGAAGUAGCAGUUUUUGUCGACAAAAAUCCUGGUUUUCUUCACCACAUCUUUGCAAGGCCUUUGCACAGCUAUAGAGGUAUAUUUUACCAUUUUCCUACACACUAAAUCUCUGCUUACAUAGGUAUCCAUAUUAAAAAAGUCAAUAUUCCAAGAAAAAUCAAAAUUAUAAUUUACACUUUUUUUUUUUGGACAUAUUGCCUCCAGGAAAAUGCCAACCCACUCACAUUUUUUUCCUUCAUAGCUGUACUUGGAGCCAUCUCCAUGCUCCUUGGCAAGGUGUAUAAAUGGGAUUUUGUUUCUCUUGAAUGAGGAAGACUGGUGUCAAGCCAAGUGCAGGGUGCUGCUGACACACAAGCCCUUUCUUGUGGAAAGAGUGCUGUUGAGAGCCUGAAGGAGCCAAGGUUGCUGCUACUGCUGCUGCCAGGAUGGAGGAGAGUGUAGAGGCAGCAGUAACUGCUGGGAAAGGUGUCCAUUGUGUCUAUCCACUGUGCACUGCCCACCCGUUUUCUCCCUUUGCCCAAAGAAAUGCCCUGGUGACCAAGGUCUCCAGGGCUGGACAGCAAAGUCCUGGCCUUUUCCCUUCCAUCAGAUGUUCACUGCCUCUGCCUGUGCCUGGUGCUGACCCCAGACCAAGCAACCUGCAAACUCCUGGCUGCUUUGCCAGCAGCACACACCUGCUUCGGCUGGAAUAAUGCUUUCCAAGUUACUUCUUUCUACUACUACCUCUUUCAGCCUUAAUAAUUUUGAUGUUUGCCAACAUCAUGGUUAAGGUAGCUUCUUGAGCCCAUAUUUCUGCUUCUCCUACAUAGAAACAUGAUGCUCAUUUUACAGAACUUAAGCCUUUCAUAAGCCCUACGACCUCACUACAGUCAGUUGUACAUUUUACGAAGCAGUUUGAAGGAGGAAUAAUUGUCCAUUUGAAAGAUUUCUGCAGCUGCUGUGCCCAUGACCUGGAUACCUGCUGCAUUCUCCUGAGUUUAGUAAGACCUGAUCUAUUGUGUUAUAUUGUAUUACAAUUGUUCAUCAAAAUACACUUGAUUCUGUUUUAGACAAAACACAGCUGUGUUUUUAUGCACAAGCGAGUUGCUUCUGCAGACAACAUUAAAAAGCAUCCCAUGGGGUAAUUGUCACAAAUCAAGGAAAAUGAAACAAGCAACUCUCUUCAACAACUGUAAAGCAAGUUCAAGUUGUUAGACCAUGGUGUUUAGCUUUUGGCAUUUUUUAGAGAGAAAAUUUCUGGGCAUUGAAUAAAGAAUGGAUACAUGUUUUUGUGUACAAUUUUUGAGCCUAAAAUAUAUUACUUGAAAGCUCUAAAUAUGGAAUGGGAUUUUGGAAACUUAGCUUCAAAUUUACUUUUGAUUGUCUGCAUUUUAAUGCCUUUUAAGAACUGAUUUUUUAAGAACUGGAAUAGAGAAUUAGGCAGGAAAAAAAAAUCAGCACAGACUCAGGGAUGGAAUAACAAUGGCUCUCAUAUAUAUAUGGGCAGCUGUUUACUUCUUUUUAAAUGUCAGCAAGAAGCAAUAAACUUCAAUUUAUUCGUGACACUUCUCUGCUAUGGAAAUCUGAAUGCAGUGGCAGCUGUGACCUGAGGGUUACAUUAUUCCCAAGAAUAUAGAGAGAAGAGCAAUUAAUGCUUAUAGAUGCUUGACUUUUAUAUACUACUAACUUUAUAGAAGGCGAAUCAAAGGUUGCUUAUGAAUCAUGGACUUUUUUAUUUGGCUUUUGAAUUUUACCUGACAUUCACAUCCGCCUCUAAAAUGUAAAUUUCUACUCCAGGAACUUGUCACAAAGAAAAAUUAUGGGGUAUGAUUGAUGUGACUGUUGCG